UACGUAGGGGGCAAGCGUUGUCCGGAUUUAUUGGGCGUAAAGAGCGUGUAGGCGGCCAGGUAGGUCUGCUGUGAAAACUCGAGGCUUAACCUCGAGAUGUCGGCGGAAACCAUCUGGCUAGAGUCCGGAAGAGGAGAGUGGAAUUCCUGGUGUAGCGGUGAAAUGCGCAGAUAUCAGGAAGAACACCCGUGGCGAAAGCGGCUCACUGGACCGCAACUGACGCUGAGGCGCGAAAGCUAGGGGAGCAAACAGG
rnacentral:rRNA from 1 species